rnacentral:rRNA from 1 species
GGGUCAGUAGGUUGGUCGUGCCACCGGUACGUACUGGUCUCACUGACUCCUCCUUCCUGAAGAACCGUAAUGCCAUUAAUUUGGUGUUGCGGGGAAACAGGACUGUUACUUUGAAAAAAUUAGAGUGUUUAAAGCAAGCUAACGCUUGAAUACAUUGGCAUGGAAUAAUGAAAUAGGACGAUCGAUCCUAUUUUGUUGGUUUCUAGGAUUGACGUA